rnacentral:ribozyme from 13 species
CUUCUUCUUCUUCCUUUUCUUCUUCUUUUUUGAGUUCCCUUUUCUCACACCUUCUUAGACCAUCUAACUUCUUUGCUUCCAACGCUUCUUGAAUUGGAAGACGAGCACUUGGAAGCUCAAGAGAAGACGAUUCGUUAUAAGAAAGGAAAGGAAGUCGAUCUCGAUCUACAAUUCCACCAAUGACAUAAAUUUUUUCAUCAUCCAAUUCUUGGAGAACAUUAGGAGAGUCAGGGGAAAGAAAAAUUAU